UCGUGGCUGAAAAUGAAUCCAUGGUUUACUCCCGGUUCCAACCGCUAAGAUCGGCUCCUCCCUUAUUAUCCUCUUCAGUCACAAAAUCCAUUAACGGCACCAUAAAUUAGGGAUUUAUUUCCAGCAGCUCUCCUCCAAUUUUUCGCAAAGUUACAGAAACCAUUAUUUGCAGCAUUCAAUCCCUUCAAUUCACAACCCAAUAAUCAAUUUCUUACGUUACCUUGAAAUGCUCGACUAUAUAAACCUCUAGACGGUUUAUCAUCUUCCCAGGUUUCUCCAUUUUUUUCUUCAGCGUGCUCUCCAAAGAAUAUUAGCUCAUCUUUUGAGAUAUUUCAUGAGGGUAAACCGAUAAUAUUGUUUCCGUAAGAUGGGAUUCACUUAAAGUACAAUCCAAGUUGUCUACUGAUGUUGUUCAUCCGUGAGCUUCUAUAGUAGGUCGAGGUAAACCUAAUAAUCUCACCUAUAUUUUCUGAUUUUCUUAGUUUAUGAGUGCAAUAAUAAAGUGUUUGUCAGAAUACACAUUGUUUUCUCAUUGCUAAAUUUGCAAGUGUUAACCAUAAGUUGUUCAUACAAACACUGCAGACACUUAAACAGGUUCACCGUUCACUGCAGAACUGAAAUUGCUCAUGUUUUAUUCCUCCAAACUAAAAAAAAAAAAAAAAAACCAAAAAUUAGUACGGCUUCAUGUCCCUCUCACAGGUUCAAAGAUAAAAAGGUGAAAAUGGUGCGGCACACUAAUCCAGUUUUAUGUAUAUAUAUAUGAGUUGUUUUAGGUUCUACAAGCUCACUUAGCAUAUUAGAUAGGUUUCGUUGAGUAAACUUCAUCCACGCUUUAGCUGGGGGAUGCUCAUAGGCUUAACAAGCCUAUGCGCUAGCGAUUGCCUCUUUCUUUGGCUGUGGUUCCUUAGAGCAUGUGAUCAUUAGCAUACUCCAAAGGGAAAAUUGGCUAGCUGCUCGACUUAGUUAAGAAGUAUUAUGUGCUGCAUUUGGUUAUCAACAUCUUGAAGUAGCAGAUGUUUACAGUACCGCUAUACUUACCUUUUGAAGAACUAUCUAUUGAAGUAGCAGUGUUUUACACAUUGUUUCGUAGGUGACCUGCCAUCGACAUGCAACAUUCUAGCAGGAUCAAGCCAGCUAUGUAUGUUACCGUUCUUGAACUUUUGUAGUGGAUAUUCAACUUUUUUUAGGAAUUUUAAGUGAAAUUCUUAACUGUUUCAAUAUUACAUCACAUAUAGAAGGAAAUCCAGCAACAUGGUCAAUCAAAGCAAGUUGCAGAUAAGAGGAGGGACAGGUAAAAGCCAAAGUUCAGUCCGCCUUCGACGUUAUCAUAAUGCAUUGAGAAACCUUCAGAUGGCAACAUGCGUUUAACAUAAAGAAACUGAUGCCUCCUAGCUUCAAAGUUGUGUUUUCCUUUCAUGAAUGUCGCAUUUAAUUGUCUUAUGUUGUGUUUUUUUUGUUUUGUGAUCCAAUCACUGUUGUCCUUUUAGCGUAUGUGAGUAUCCUUUAUCAUCA